GAGCAUCUCUGGCUAAAUCACAAUCUGUGGUAGGAAUCUCAGACAAAAUGAAUAAACAUAUGCACAAUGUAUAUUAUCUAUACUUAUUAAAAAAAUAUUUAGAUAUAUAUAUAUAUAUUUAUAGUACUUAUAUUGGAUUAAACCAGCGUUAUUACUUACUAGACCCUAUAUUUUUUUUUUCAAACACAUUUUUAUUGCAUAAAUACAUAAAGCACCACAUAACCAAACAUACAUCACUUUCAUCAUCAUCAUCAUCAUCAUCAUCAUCAUCAUCAUCACUGUAUCAGUUUUAUAUCAACCCAUUUAACUGCUUGAGGCCAUAAUAUUAAAAGUACAAUCAACGUAACAAAGAUCCCGGAUGAUGACGUAGAUUGGUAUAUUUGUGACUCAUGUCCUCGGUCGAGGGCUGGUCAUGUCAGCAACUUUUUAUAACGAUUUUUAAGGAUCUAAUUAAAAACUAUUAUUUAAUUGCUAAAUAAAUGUUAUAAAAUACAUCAAAAUUAGAAAUAACUAAUGAACGCACAUGUAUCCAUCCUCACAAAAAUUCUUCCUUUCUUCCUUUCUUUCCUUCUUUCCUUUCUUUCUUUCUUUCUUUCUUUCUUUCUUCCUCCUUUUUAUUUCAUUAUUUUAAUUCGUUCAGACUAGUCUGCCCGAGGCCAACAAUGAAUAUCCCUCUAUGCUUUAUCAAAGGAAAAUAAAAGAUUUUUUUUUUUUUUAAUUUGGAAAAAUAAAAUUUCUUGUUUACAUAAGUUGUAGAAAAAUUCAAGCUGGACCUGCCGUCAUCUUAAAGGUAGUUAUUACCUGUAUUAUUUUAAGAAAAGUAUCCUUAUGUUACAACCCGACAAUUCAUGGAUAAAAUUUGUAAAAUUACAAAACAUUUCUACAGAAGCCUUAUAAUACACGGUACAAACAGACAUGAACAUUUCUUAUGCACUGCAUUUGUUUACAACGACCCGGUCUGCAACGAACUACUGGAAUAAUGUCCGCUGAUAACGUUUUGUUCCGGAAAUAAAAAGUGUUUAAACGUCAAACUAAAAUCCGGAUAGGAAAACCCGGACAAAGUAAUAGCGGUCCGAAUUGAGGCACAACUUUACCAGUCCGUGUAACGAUAUGACUUUACAAAGGGAAUUGUACCACAUGAGCAAGGUGUACAGUAUCAGUGGUAAAAUUGAUGACAAGGAAAUUGCACGAUAUCCCAUAAGA